rnacentral:rRNA from 1 species
GACUCUCGGCAACGGAUAUCUCGGCUCUCGCAUCGAUGAAGAACGUAGCGAAAUGCGAUACUUGGUGUGAAUUGCAGAAUCCCGUGAACCAUCGAGUCUUUGAACGCAAGUUGCGCCCGAAGCCGUUAGGCGCACGUCUGCCUGGGCGUCA